rnacentral:misc_RNA from 1 species
GUAGGUGAACCUGCGGAAGGAUCAUUAACGAAUAACUAUGGUGUCUUGGCUGUCGCUGGCUCCUCGGAGCAUCGUGCACGCCCGCCAUUUUUAUCUAUCCACCUGUGCACCGAAUGUAGGUCUGGAUGACUCUCGUCUCCGGGCGGAUGCGAGGUUUGCGUGUGCGUAGCGCGUUCGCGCGCGUUGCGUACGGGCUCACCUCGAAUUUCCAGACUCUACGUCUUUUUACACACCCCAAACGUAUGAUGCA